AGUGAACGCUGGCGGUAGGCCUAACACAUGCAAGUCGAACGGCAGCACAGUAAGAGCUUGCUCUUACGGGUGGCGAGUGGCGGACGGGUGAGGAAUACAUCGGAAUCUACUUUUUCGUGGGGGAUAACGUAGGGAAACUUACGCUAAUACCGCAUACGACCUACGGGUGAAAGCAGGGGAUCUUCGGACCUUGCGCGAUUGAAUGAGCCGAUGUCGGAUUAGCUAGUUGGCGGGGUAAAGGCCCACCAAGGCGACGAUCCGUAGCUGGUCUGAGAGGAUGAUCAGCCACACUGGAACUGAGACACGGUCCAGACUCCUACGGGAGGCAGCAGUGGGGAAUAUUGGACAAUGGGCGCAAGCCUGAUCCAGCCAUACCGCGUGGGUGAAGAAGGCCUUCGGGUUGUAAAGCCCUUUUGUUGGGAAAGAAAAGCAGAAGGUUAAUACCCCGCUGUUCUGACGGUACCCAAAGAAUAAGCACCGGCUAAAUUCGUG
rnacentral:rRNA from 1 species